rnacentral:rRNA from 1 species
CCCUUAGAUGUUCUGGGCCGCACACGCGCUACACUGAAGGAGGCAGCGUGUACUCCUGGAUCGAAAGAUUUGGGUAACCCGCGAAUCUCCUUCGUGCUAGGGAUUGAGGUUUGCAAUUAUCCUUCAUGAACGAGGAAUUCCCAGUAAGUGCAAGUCAUAAGCUCGCGCUGACUACGUCCCUGCCCUUUGUACACACCGCCCGUCGCUACUACCGAUUGAAUGAUUUAGUGAGGACUUCGGACUGGGACCGAUGCGGCUUUCGGGCUGCGUCGGUAUUCUGGAAAGAUGUCCAAACUGUAUCAUUUAGAGGAAGUAAAAGUCGUAACA